rnacentral:tRNA from 2 species
GCCUCGCUAGCUCAAUGGUAGAGCAACGGACUCUUAAUCCGCAGGUUCCCGGUUCGAGCCCGGGGCGGGGUA